UGGUAUUUUGACUAUACAAAGGUAUUGUAAUAAGAUUUUAAUUGAAUGCUAAAAGAAUGGAAGUUUAAGAAAAAACUUUUUUAAAAAUAAAAAUUAAAUUUUUUUUAAUUUGUGCAAAACCAAUUAUUUAUAUUAAAGACAAGAAGACCCUAUGAAUUUAUGAUUAAAUAAACUAAAAAUUUUUAGUUUAUUUAAUCUUGAUUGGGGCAAUCAAAAAAUAUUAAUAACUUUUUUAAAUUUAAAUCAUCUCUUAUUAAUAAUCUAAUGGAAUAAAUACUCUAGGGAUAACAGCGU
rnacentral:rRNA from 1 species